rnacentral:rRNA from 1 species
UACGGUAGGUGCGAGCGUUGUCCGGAAUUAUUGGGCGUAAAGAGCUCGUAGGCGGUGUGUCACGUCGGCCGUGAAAACCUGCAGCUUAACUGUGGGCGUGCGGUCGAUACGGGCAUCACUGGAGUUCGGCAGGGGAGACUGGAAUUCCUGGUGUAGCGGUGAAAUGCGCAGAUAUCAGGAGGAACACCGGUGGCGGAAGGCGGGUCUCUGGGCCGAUACUGAC